rnacentral:rRNA from 1 species
AUUGAACGCUGGCAGCAGGCCUAACACAUGCAAGUCGAGCGGUAGAGAGGUGCUUGCAUCUCUUGAGAGCGGCGGACGGGUGAGUAAUGCCUAGGAAUCUGCCUAGUGGUGGGGGAUAACGUUCGGAAACGGACGCUAAUACCGCAUACGUCCUACGGGAGAAAGCGGGGGAUCUUCGGACCUCGCGCCAUUAGAUGAGCCUAGGUCGGAUUAGCUAGUUGGUGAGGUAAUGGGCUCACCAAGGCGACGAUCCGUAACUGGUCUGAGAGGAUGAUCAGUCACACUGGAACUGAGACACGGUCCAGACUCCUACGGGAGGCAGCAGUGGGGAAUAUUGGAACAAUGGGCGAAAGCCUGAUCCAGCCAUGCCGCGUGUGUGAAGAAGGUCUUCGGAUUGUAAAGCACUUUAAGUUGGG